rnacentral:tRNA from 6 species
GGGCCCGUAGCUCAGUUGGUUAGAGCGCACGCCUGAUAAGCGUGAGGUCGGUGGUUCGAAUCCACCCGGGCCCACCA